AACCAUAGAAACCUGCGGAGUACCUGCGGAAGGAUCAUUAUCGAGUUGCAAAACUCCAACCCUUUGUGAACAUACCUCAGUCGUUGCUUCGGCGGUGGACGGCCUGUUUUUCGGAACGGCCGGAAGCCGCCGGAGGUUCCAAACUCGUAUUUUUUAGUGUAUCUCUGAGCCUGAAAACAAAUAAUCAAAACUUUCAGCAAUGGAUCU
rnacentral:misc_RNA from 1 species